CGAAGUCUGAUGGAGCACGCCGCGUGAGUGAAGAAGGUUUUCGGAUCGUAAAGCUCUGUUGUUGGUGAAGAAGGAUAGAGGUAGUAACUGGCCUUUAUUUGACGGUAAUCAACCAGAAAGUCACGGCUAACUACGUGCCAGCAGCCGCGGUAAUACGUAGGUGGCAAGCGUUGUCCGGAUUUAUUGGGCGUAAAGCGAGCGCAGGCGGAAGAAUAAGUCUGAUGUGAAAGCCCUCGGCUUAACCGAGGAACUGCAUCGGAAACUGUUUUUCUUGAGUGCAGAAGAGGAGAGUGGAACUCCAUGUGUAGCGGUGGAAUGCGUAGAUAUAUGGAAGAACACCAGUGGCGAAGGCGGCUCUCUGGUCUGCAACUGACGCUGAGGCUCGAAAGCAUGGGUAGCGAACAGGAUUAGAUACC
rnacentral:rRNA from 1 species